rnacentral:piRNA from 1 species
UGAGUUGCUUUGACAAUGGAAGUCUAUCGG